CCUACGGGAGGCAGCAGUGGGGAAUAUUGCACAAUGGGCGCAAGCCUGAUGCAGCCAUGCCGCGUGUGUGAAGAAGGCCUUCGGGUUGUAAAGCACUUUCAGUAGGGAGGAAAGGGUGAGUCUUAAUACGGCUCAUCUGUGACGUUACCUACAGAAGAAAUGGC
rnacentral:rRNA from 1 species